UACGUAGGCAGCAAGCGUUGUUCGGAGUUACUGGGCGUAAAGAGUGUGUAGGUGGUCCUCUAAGUGUGGUGUGAAAUCUCCCGGCUCAACUGGGAGGGUGCGCCGAAAACUGGGGGGCUUGAGUGUGGGAGAGGAAAGCGGAAUUCCUGGUGUAGCGGUGAAAUGCGUAGAUAUCAGGAGGAACACCUGCGGUGUAGACGGCUUUCUGGGACGGUACUGACGCUGAGGAGCGAAAGCGUGGGGAGCGAACAGG
rnacentral:rRNA from 1 species